rnacentral:lncRNA from 1 species
AGCGUUAUGGUCAUGGUGGAUGCGUAGGUCUCUACACAGUUGAACACAACGAAAGAUGCUUGCAUUUUUUAGUAUUUCCACGUAUUCAGCAUUUCCAAGGAUUUCGUCGGUCCAAUCCUGCCAUCCUUGAAGGCGACUAGAUGAAUCAGAUAGGAAGUGAAGAGGACUGAAAGGGUAUUCUUGCUUCUCUAUGCAUAGGCGGGG